UGGGGUGUAGCCAAGCGGAAAGGCACUGGACUUUGACUCCAGCACUCGCCGGUUCGAAUCCGGCCAUCCUAG
rnacentral:tRNA from 1 species